rnacentral:tRNA from 1 species
GUGACUGUAGUUUAAAAAAAAUACUAGAUUGUGAUUCUAGCCAUGAGAGCUGAUAUCUCUUCAGUCACC